rnacentral:rRNA from 1 species
CUAACUUAAACUGGAGAGAACAGUGGGUAUUGGGUAGUUUGGCUGGGGCGGUCACCUUCCAAAUUGUAACGAAGGUGUGCAAAAGGCAAAUUCAAAGAUGCUUUUUUUUUGAUGAGUGCAAUAGCAAAAAUUUGCUUGACUGUAAGAAAUACAAUUCAAGCAGGGAUUUACGUCGGUUAUAGUGAUCUGAUGUUUUUUUAUGGAGAAAGCAUCACUUUUCGGAAAAAAGGUACGCCAGGGAUAACAGGCUAAUGAUUUUUUAGAGUUCUUAUCGACAAAAUUGUUUGGCACCUCGAUGUCGGCUUUUCACAUCCUGGAGCUGUAGUUGGUUCCAAGGGUUUGGUUGUUCGCCAAUUAAAGUGAAACAUGAGCUGGGUUCAGAACGCCGUGAGGCAGUUUGGUUUCUAUCUACUAAUAUUUGAAGAAAAUUUGAAAAAAUAAACCUUAGUACGAGAGGACUGGGAAAAGUAAACCUCUUGUUUAACGGCUGUUCUUUUGUAGAGCAUUGUCGUAUAGCUACGUUUAUAUUAGAUAAUCACUGAACGCAUUUAAGUGAGAAAUUAUUUUUAAGGCCUGUUUUCUAUUAAAAGAGUCGUGAACACCGAUCACGUAAUUAGGUACUGCGU